GACGUAGGGCGCAAGCGUUGUCCGGAUUUAUUGGGCGUAAAGAGCUCGUAGGCGGCUUGUUGCGUCGUCCGUGAAAACCUGUGGCUCAACUACAGGCUUGCGGUCGAUACGGGCGGGCUGGAGUUCGGUAGGGGAGACUGGAAUUCCUGGUGUAGCGGUGAAAUGCGCAGAUAUCAGGAGGAACACCGGUGGCGAAGGCGGGUCUCUGGGCCGAUACUGACGCUGAGGCGCGAAAGCGUGGGGAGCAAACAGG
rnacentral:rRNA from 1 species